AUCUUAUCAAGAGUGGCGGAGGGACUGGCCCUGUGAUGUCCGGCAACCGGCUUUAAGAGUACGGUGCUAAAUCCUGGAGGAUUAUGAUCCUAGAGAUGAGAU
rnacentral:ncRNA from 2 species